rnacentral:rRNA from 1 species
GACGAACGCUGGCGGCGUGCUUAACACAUGCAAGUCGAACGGAAAGGCCCUGCUUUUGUGGGGUGCUCGAGUGGCGAACGGGUGAGUAACACGUGAGUAACCUGCCCUUGACUUUGGGAUAACUUCAGGAAACUGGGGCUAAUACCGGAUAGGAGCUCCUGCUGCAUGGUGGGGGUUGGAAAGUUUCGGCGGUUGGGGAUGGACUCGCGGCUUAUCAGCUUGUUGGUGGGGUAGUGGCUUACCAAGGCUUUGACGGGUAGCCGGCCUGAGAGGGUGACCGGCCACAAUGGGACUGAGAUACGGCCCAGACUCCUACGGGAGGCAGCAGUGGGGAAUAAUGCACCAUGGGCGGAAGCCUGAUGCAGCAACGCCGGGUGCGGGAUGACGGGCUUCGGGUUGUAAACCGCUUUCGCCUGUGACGAAGCGUGAGUGACGGUAAUGGGUAAAGAAGCACCGGCUAAAUACGUG